rfam:Gossypium raimondii Chr02_contig_203, whole genome shotgun sequence.
AACGUUGUCGAGACCUUAAUUCUUCAGUCAAGAGAAAGCCUCUCUAAUGGCAAUUAAUUUGAUCAAUCUCAAUUAGAAAGCAGAGAGAAUACGUCCGAGGAGGGGCUCACGUCUGAUUAGCUAGUUGGUGAGGCAAUAGCUUACCAAGGCGAUGAUCAGUAGCUGGCCCGAAAGGGUGAUUAGCCACACUGGACUGAGACACGACCCAGACUCUUACAGGAGGCAACACUGGGAAAUUUUCCGCAAUGGGCGAAAGCCUGACGGAGCAAUGCCGUGUGGAGGUAGAAGGCCCACGAGUCGUGAACUUCUUUUUCCCGGAGAAGAAGCAAUGACGGUAUUUGGGGAAUAAGCAUCAGCUAACUUUAUGCCAACAGCCGCGGUAAUACAGAGGAUGCAAGCGUU